rnacentral:lncRNA from 1 species
UUAUUAACUAAACCAAAAGUAAACAUACAAUUCGAGUCGCCACCGCACUUUUAUUUAUCCAAAGGAAAGGUUACAAAGCGAACAAAAACCAAGUAAGAAGUUUUAUCAAACCAAAAACUAAUAAAAAUGUCAUAGAUCUGGGUAAGGGGGUUGGUUAUGAAAUGGGAAGGUUUUAUGCACCCCAAACAUCCUUAGUACUCUAAGGGAACCGUUUUUGCAAAUGUGUGUUGUAGGUUGGAAUUUGUGAAAAUAUGUGCAAAAGAUUG